ACAAACUUGGUCAUUUAGAGGAAGUAAAAGUCGUAACAAGGUUUCCGUAGGUGAACCUGCGGAAGGAUCAUUACUGUUUAGGUGGAUGCAGCGUAAGCUCAACCCCUAUCCAACCCUUGCUUACAGUACCUUAUGUUGUUUCCUCGGCAGGCUAUGCCUGCCGCAUGGAACCCCUUAAACUCUUUGUAAUAAGCAAUUUCUUCAGUAACAAAUAAUUAUUUACAACUUUCAACAAUGGAUCUCUUGGUUCUGGCAUCGAUGAAGAACGCAGC
rnacentral:misc_RNA from 1 species